rnacentral:rRNA from 1 species
AUGAACGCUAGCGGCAGGCCUAAUACAUGCAAGUCGAACGAUACCUUCCAGCUUGCUGGAGGGGAAAGUGGCGCACGGGUGCGUAACGCGUAUGCAACCUACCUUAAUCAGGGGGAUAGCCCGAAGAAAUUCGGAUUAACACCGCAUAAAAACACAGGAUAGCAUUAUCCAAUGUUCAAAUAUUUAUAGGAUUAAGAUGGGCAUGCGUGUCAUUAGCUAGUUGGCGGGGUAACGGCCCACCAAGGCGACGAUGACUAGGGGAUCUGAGAGGAUGACCCCCCACACUGGUACUGAGACACGGACCAGACUCCUACGGGAGGCAGCAGUAAGGAAUAUUGGUCAAUGGAGGCAACUCUGAACCAGCCAUGCCGCGUGCAGGAAGACAGCCCUCUGGGUCGUAAACUGCUUUUAUCUGGGAAUAAACCUGCUUACGUGUAAGUAGCUGAAUGUACCAGAAGAAUAAGGAUCGGCUAACUCCGU